GGCGCCGAAUCUCGCAACUGACCCGUGGCGAGGUUGACCUCGCGCUGACCGCCGAGGCAAGGGUCAGCGAGGCUGGCUGGGGGUUGUGGGUAGCGACUGGCCAGCAGGACGGCGCUGAGCGAGAUCGACCACUGCGUCUUCUUCGCACGGAUUCGGCAAAUGUAAAAAAAAAGUAUCCCCGAGACAGGCCGUGGGGCAGCGCGUCCUCCAGCGGCGAGCCGAUCGUCCUUGUGAGCGCCGUCCUCAACACUGCGAAGAGCAGCGAACAACAACAACAACAGCAGCAGCAGUAGCAGCAGCAGCAGCAGCUAAAAACUAAUUUCUCGGACCGGUUUCGACGCGCGGGUGUCUCAGCAGCAGGGACUUUAACGGCGCUCCCUUUCUUUGAUCCACCCGCAGACUGCCUUGGGCAAGCUGGUGAAGGCCGAGAAACUGAAGCUCCGCGUGCAACAGGAAGACGAGCGGCUCGCAAGCACCGCACCGACCCGGGGCCCAGACGGGGACACUGAAAGACCUUCCGCUCAUCUCACACACGUGAACGUGGCUGCACGGCAGCGCUCCCGCCUGGCCUGGGGCGACGGCGGAGCCGGCGGCAGCGUUGCGAGCCUGCGAGGCGGCAUGCUCUACGCCAACGGCAGCCUCACCGUGCCGCGCGCGGGCAGCUACUUCGUCUUCUCGCAGGUGGGCCGACGUUCAGCGCCACCGCACCACCGGCUUGGCUAUCGUACGGUGCGUGCGAGAGGUUCAACGUGCGCACGCGUACACCUGUGCAUACA